rnacentral:rRNA from 1 species
GACGAACGCUGGCGGCGUGGAUUAGGCAUGCAAGUCGAACGGUAGAUAUCCUUCGGGGUAUUGAGAGUGGCGAACGGGUGAGUAACACGUAGGUAAUCUACCCUCAAAUCGGGGACAACCCAGGGAAACUUGGGCUAAUACCGGAUGAGUGCAGCACCUAAAUCAUCCAUACGGAAUCUGGUUAAGAUUGGGUUUUGUAUGGUUGGGUGAUUUAGGUGCUGUAUAAAAGAUGGCUUCGGCUGUCGUUUGAGGAUGAGCCUGCGCUCUAUUAGUUAGUUGGUGAGGUAAUGGCUCACCAAGGCGAUGAUAGAUAGGCGGCCUUAACGGGUGGUCGCCCACACUGGGAUUGAGAUACGGCCCAGACUCCUACGGGAGGCAGCAGUGGGGAAUAUUGCACAAUGGCGAAAGCCCGAUGCAGCAACGCCGCGUGAGCGAUGAAGG